rnacentral:rRNA from 1 species
UACGUAGGGUGCAAGCGUUAAUCGGAAUUACUGGGCGUAAAGCGUGCGCAGGCGGUUAUGCAAGACAGAGGUGAAAUCCCCGGGCUCAACCUGGGAACUGCCUUUGUGACUGCAUAGCUAGAGUACGGUAGAGGGGGAUGGAAUUCCGCGUGUAGCAGUGAAAUGCGUAGAUAUCCGGAGGAACACCGAUGGCGAAGGCAGCUUCCUGGCCCGUAACUGCACGCUGAGGCACGAAAGCGUGGGGAGCCGAACGAGG